UACGACGUAUCAGAGUUUGAUCCUGGCUCAGGACGAACGCUGGCGGCAUGCCUAAUACAUGCAAGUCGAACGCUGAAGCACUCUGCUUGCAGAGUGCGGAUGAGUGGCGAACGGGUGAGUAACACGUGGGAAAUCUGCCUAGGAGUGGGGGAUAACAUUCGGAAACGGAUGCUAAUACCGCAUAUCUUUUUGAACCGCAUGGUUCUUAAACGAAAGACGGCUUCGGCUGUCGCUCUUAGAUGAUCCCGCGGCGUAUUAGUUAGUUGGUGGGGUAAAGGCCUACCAAGACCAUGAUACGUAGCCGACCUGAGAGGGUGAUCGGCCACACUGGGACUGAGACACGGCCCAG
rnacentral:rRNA from 1 species